rnacentral:rRNA from 1 species
GUAUCAUAUGCUUGUCUCAAAGAUUAAGCCAUGCAUGUCUAAAUAUAAGCACAAUAUACAGUGCCCCUGCGAAUGGCUCAUUAAAUCAGUUAUCGAAUAUUUGAUAGUACAUUACUACAAGGCCCGUGUGGUAAUUCUAGAGCCGAUACAUGCUGAAAACCUCGACUUCGGAACGGAUGUAUUUUUUAGAUAAAAAACCAAUGAACUUCGGGGCUGCUUCGUGAAUCAUAAUCACUUUACGAAUCGCAUGGCCUUGCGCCGGCGAUGGUUCAUUCAAAUUUCUGCCCUAUCCACUUUCGAUGGUAGGAUAGUCGGGUAUUAUGGUGGCAACGGGUAACGGGGAAUUAGGGCUCGUAUCCGGAGAGGGAGACUGAGAAACGGCUACCACAUCCAAGGAAGGCAGCAGGCGCAGAAAUUUCCCAAUCACGACAAGGGGAGGUAGUGACAAUCCAUACUGAUACGGGGCGCAUUUGCCUCUCGUAAUUGGCCUGCGUAAAAUCUUAAUCCCUUAACGAGGAACAAUUGGCAGGCAAGUUUGGUGCCAGCAGCGGCGGGGGUUUCAGCUCCAAUAGCGUAUAUUAAAGAUCAUGCAGUUAAAAAGCUCGUAGUUGAACCUUGAGCGCGGCUGGCCGGUCCGCCUCACGCGGAGUCCUGGUCAAACUGGACCUUUAAUUUUGGGGAAUCUCAUGGCCUUCACUGGCUGUAGGGCGCCCCAGGACUUUUACUGUGAAAAAAUUUUUGUGUUCAAAGCAGGCCUUUGCUCGAAUUCAUUAGCAUGGAGUGUGUGUAAUAGGACCUUUGCUUCUAUUUUGUUGGUUUCUAAGACCCCCGUAAUGAUUAAUAGGGAUUUUCGGGGGCGUCAGUAUUCAGCUGUCAGAGGUGAAAUUUUUGGAUUUGCUGAAGACUAACUACUGCGAAAGCAUUCGCCAAGGAUGUUUUUAUUAAUCCGGGAACGAAAGUUAGGGGAUAUAUGACGAUCAGAUACCGUCGUAGUCUUAACAAUAAAAUAUGCCGACUAGGGAUCGGACGGUGUUUCUAUUAUGACCCGUUCGGCACCGCACGAGUAAUCAAAGUUUUUGGGUUCUGCAAGGAGUAUGGUAGCAAGGCUGAAACUUGCAGAAAAAGACGGAAGGGCACCACCAGGCGUGGAGCCUGCGGCUUAAUUUGACUCAACACGGAAAAACUCACCAGGUCCAGACAAAAUAAGGAUUGACAGAUUGAGAGCUCUUUUUUGAUUUUUUGGAUGGUGGUGCAUGGAAAUUCUUAGUUGGUGGAGUGAUUUGUCUGCUUCAUUGCCCUAACGAACGAGACCUCGGCCCUUAAAUAGCCCGGUCCGCAUUUGCGGGCCUCUGGCUUUUUAGAGAGGCGCAGGCUAUCGGCUCAAGCCGAUGGAAGUGCGAGGCAAUAACAGGUCUGUGAUGC